AUCUGGCUCAGGAUGAACGCUAGCUACAGGCUUAACACAUGCAAGUCGAGGGGCAGCAUGAACUUAGCUUGCUAAGUUUGAUGGCGACCGGCGCACGGGUGAGUAACACGUAUCCAACCUGCCGAUGACUCGGGGAUAGCCUUUCGAAAGAAAGAUUAAUACCCGAUGGCAUAGUUCUUCCGCAUGGUAGAACUAUUAAAGAAUUUCGGUCAUCGAUGGGGAUGCGUUCCAUUAGGUUGUUGG
rnacentral:rRNA from 1 species